rnacentral:rRNA from 1 species
AACGAACGCUGGCGGCAUGCCUAACACAUGCAAGUCGAACGAUACCUUCGGGUCUAUUGGCGCACGGGUGGGUAACGCCUGGGAAGUUACACUUGGGUUCGGAAUAUCCGUUGGAAACGUCUGCUAAUACCGGAUGAUGACGUAAUUCCAAAGAUUUAUGGCCCAAGGAUGAGCCGGCGUAGGAUUAGCUAGUUGGUGAGGUAAGGGGGGACGAAGGCGACGAUCCUUAGCUGGUCAGAGAGGAAGAUCAGCCACACUGGGACUGGGACACGGCCGAGACUCUGGGGGGAGGGAGCAAUGGGGGAUAUUGGAAUGUGGGGGAGAGGCUGAAGGAGCAAGGCCGCGUGAGUGCUGAAGGCCUUAGGGUUGUGGAGCUGUUUUACCCGGGGUGAUGAUGACGGUACCGGGAGAAUAAGCGCCGGCUAACUACGUG